rnacentral:rRNA from 1 species
AUUGAACGCUGGCGGCAUGCUUUACACAUGCAAGUCGAACGGCAGCGCGGGCUUCGGCCUGGCGGCGAGUGGCGAACGGGUGAGUAAUGCAUCGGAACGUGCCCAGUAGUGGGGGAUAGCCCGGCGAAAGCCGGAUUAAUACCGCAUACGACCUGAGGGUGAAAGCGGGGGACCGAAAGGCCUCGCGCUAUUGGAGCGGCCGAUGUCGGAUUAGCUAGUUGGUGGGUUAAAGGCUUACCAAGGCGACGAUCCGUAGCUGGUCUGAGAGGACGACCAGCCACACUGGGACUGAGACACGGCCCAGACUCCUACGGGAGGCAGCAGUGGGGAAUUUUGGACAAUGGGGGCAACCCUGAUCCAGCCAUGCCGCGUGCGGGAAGAAGGCCUUCGGGUUGUAAACCGCUUUUGUUCGGGAAGAAAUCCUCUGGGCUAAUACCCCGGGGGGAUGACGGUACCGGAAGAAUAAGCACCGGCUAACUACGUG